AUGCAAAGCAGGCUGGAAGGUCUCACUUUGUCAGCAGCAUGCCCCUCUCCUGCUACUGCUGUUCACACCUCUGUCAGCACUGCCAAUGUGGCUGCUUCUGGAACUGUACUAAAGAAUGUCUGGGAGGAGAUAAAGAUCCCAAGCUCCUUCAGUAUUCUACAUGGGAGUCCUAAAGAAGCAGGAAAGCACUUGAACCCAGAAUCCAAAGUUAUCUCUGCUAACUGCAAGGAACGAUCCAAACUUACAGGUUUCCCAGAACAAAGAUGUCAAGGGAUUACAAGAGAUUGACAAGGGACAAGAGACUGACAAGAAAGUAAGCCUCAAAUACAUCUAGGAGGAGGGCAGAGAAGAGAAAACCAGCCUGCAAGGCCUUUGCUUCCUCUUCACUCCACAGAAGGCAAAUAGAUAAAGGUAGGACUCCAGUGGGAAGUUAGCUUUCAUCCUUUUUUCUGGGCUGCAGGAAUCUUUGCAGUUUCUGAUAAGAACAAAAAUAUAUCAUACAGAAGGAAAUUCUAGGGAUGAUGCAUGCUUUUGUGUCCUUUAAUGAACAGCUGUUGCACAUUUGUAUUUAGGGUAGGGGGGACUCUGAAAACUGAUUUUUUUUUCAGCUGUGUCCAAGCUAUUCACUGAAAGUCAUGCAAAGGCAAAUUUAAAAGAUCAUUGAGCACAUCUGGAAA
rnacentral:lncRNA from 1 species